rnacentral:rRNA from 1 species
GACGAAGGGGGCUAGCGUUGUUCGGAAUUACUGGGCGUAAAGCGUGUGUAGGUGGUUGUCCAAGUUGGAUGUGAAAGCCUUGAGCUCAACUCAAGAAAUGCAUUCAGGACUGGGCGACUAGAGGACCGGAGAGGAUAGUGGAAUUCCCAGUGUAGUGGUGAAAUACGUAGAGAUUGGGAAGAACACCAGUGGUGAAGGCGGCUAUCUGGACGGUUUCUGACACUAAGACUCGAAAGCGUGGGGAGCAAACAGG